GAAAAAGGGUCCCUCCCCUCCCUCCCGCCCAAAGCUUCCCUCUCCUCCUCCGUCUUCCUCGCAUACUCACCGUUUGAUUCCCACUCCACUCUCGACGUUCUUAGGUUUCAUCCGUUUCGUCUCCGUUCUAAUUUUCGAUUUUAAACCAUCGUUGUUACGGAGCAUGGAGAAAACUCCGACGCAGAUCGUCUCCGAGAUGGGCUCUCGUCUGCUCCAGUCCUCUCGUCCCAACAAGGGCUCUCUCGUGAAAUCGCUACGGGAAGCUGCUACUACACUGUCACAGAUCGAUCAGCCUUUAGUCACCGAAGCUGUGAGCAAGAAACAAGCUCUGAAACUUCUCGAAGCUGAGCUAAGACCGCUCAAGAAAUCCAUCAUCAAGCACGACCUUCUUAAGAACCGUGACAACGACGUGAGUCUGCUAGUCACCGUUUGCGUCAGUGAGAUCUUUCGGAUUCUGGCACCUGACCCUCCUUUUGAAGACAAGUAUCUCAGGGAUAUAUUUAACCUCUUCCUUGCUGAGUUCUCUGAGCUGUCUGAUACGGUAAGCCCUUACUUCUCGAGAAGGGCGAAGAUCUUGGAGACAGUUUCUCGGUGUAAGUGUUGUCUGCUAAUGCUGGACGUGGACUGCCAUGACUUAAUUCACGAGAUGUUUAACACGUUUUUCUUUGUUGUGAGGGAGCACUAUCAACUGAAUUUAGCUCAUCAGAAGAAUGCUAAAGUGCAGCAGCAGCGAAAGGCUAACACGCAACAAGCGCAACAAAGUUUAUUUAAUGACAUUCUGACUGUAAUGACUGAUAUUCUGAAAGAAGAGGCAAGUUCGUCGCUUGUCGGUGUUGUUCUUGAAAAUCUUGUGAAGGAUGGAAAGGAUGCGACUCCUGCUGCUAAUAACCUUGCCAGUUCUCUCGUUAAAAACUGCGCCGACACGCUUGAGCCGUUAAUUUGCGGUUUCUUAACAUCCUGUUUUAUGGAGAAAGAUUCCAUCCAGUCCAAUCUCAAAGAUUCGUAUCACGAAAUCAUAUUCAUGAUCUCCUUAAAUGCUCCACAGAUACUGCUAGCAGUUAUCCCGAACUUGACCCAGGAACUACUGACUGAUCAGGUUGAUGUGCGAAUAAAAGCUCUGAACUUAGCUGGAAGGAUUUUUGCACAGCCUAACCACUGUUCCGGGGAGAUAUACCGAGAUCUUUUUGUAGAGUUCUUGAGAAGAUUCUCAGAUAAAUCAGCAGAAGUCAGAAUGGCUGCACUAAAAUGUGGGAAGCAGUGUUACUUGGCGAAUCCCUCUGGGAAUAAAGCAUCCGGAGUUCUCACUGCCGUUCAAGAGCGUCUAUUAGAUUUUGAUGAUAGGGUUAGAACACAGGCUUUGCUUGUUGCUUGUGAUUUAAUGAAGUCGAAUAUGAAGUAUGUUCCUUUGAAUCUGAUUUCUGAGGCCACUGAGAGACUUCGGGAUAAGAAGAUAUCUGUUAGGAAGAAGGCUAUGCAGCAGCUGUCAAAAGUGUAUCAAGAUUACUGUGACAAGUGUUCAAAAGGAUUUAUGACAAUAAAUGAUCAUUUUGAGCAAAUCCCAUGCAAAAUCUUGUUGCUUUGCUGCGAUAAAGAUUGUAAAGAAUCAUGGUCCCACAGUGUGGAACUUGUGCUAUCCGAUGAUCUUUUUCCUCGCCUUCUUCCAGUUGAGGAGAGGAUGCGGCACUGGGUUCAAUGUUUUGUCGUCAUGAACCAUAUUCACUUGAAGUCACUCAAUUCAAUUUUAUCCCAGAAAAGAAGGUUUCAAAGUGAAUUGCGGCAUUGCCUGACUCUCUGGAGGGAGGCUAAGGAUCAAAAUGUAGAAGAAGUGAAAAGAAAACAGAAAAGCUAUUUUGUAAAGCUUUCAGCUUGCUUUCCAGACGCCUCUAAGGCAGAAGAUUUCUUUCACAAGUUGGACCAAAUGGACGACACAUCAAUUUUUGAUGCCUUAAGUCUACUGCUGGAUGAACUGACAUUGACAAAAGCCCAGACUAUUAGAGAGAAGUUUCUCGAGAGAAUUGGUGCUAAUCAUCAACUUUUCGAUUUCCUGCGCAUACUUUCUACAAAAUGUGCGCCUACUAUAUUUAGCUCAGAGCAUGUUCGGUAUCUGCUGGAUCAGCUUUCUAGCGGCACCUCUGCUGACACGCAGUUGAAGGCUCCUUUCAUCAAACUUCUUCUGGUAAUCCUCAACAUGUUCCCUUCUUACCUGAGAGGUUCAGAAAAUCAGUUUUUGGAGCUGUUAGAGGACAAUGAUUCAGUCGCUGACGAGCUAAUGGAAGCUUUGUCAAAGGCAGCUCCUUAUAUUUCUGCCAAUUUCAGUGACUAUUCCCCUGUUCUGGAGAAUAUGUGUCUGGAGGGUACUCGUUCCCAGGCAAAACAUGCUGUUUCUGCCAUUGCUUCGUUGGCGGGAUCAUCUGAAAAAUCUGUCGUUUCCAAGCUAUGCAAGAAGCUCAGAGAUUCUUUGCUGCGUGGACGGAAUAUUCCAACAACUCUGCAAUCUUUGGCAUGUGUUGGGCAAUAUUCUGUCUCGGCUUUUGACAACAUAUAUGAAGAUAUCAGUAGCUACGUAUACCAAGUUUUUCAAGAUGAACCAUCUGACAAUCAGCCUCCUUGUGAUCAGUCUUCUGGUUGCUGUAACUCUUGCAAGCUAAAGAUAUAUGGGCUCAAAACACUUGUGAAGAGUUCCUUGCCUCGUCAUGGUAAAGUCGCAAGGAAAAUCGAUGACUUGUUGAACGUUUUGAAGAAAACACUAAGAUCACAAGGAUUCGAUGGCAUCAAAUCAUGCGAUGAUACGGGAGCUAAUGUUAGACUGGCUGCUGCUAAAGCUGUUUUAUUGCUUUCAAGGAAAUGGGACCUUCAUAUUUCCCCUGAACUUUUUCGUCUUACCAUAUCGAUGGGAAAGGACUCCAAUGCUUUUAUUACAAGGACUUUUCUCACCAAAUUACACAAGCUGUUGAUGGAAAAUAUGAUACCCAGAAGAUACGCAUGUGCUUUUUCGUUUUCCGUGUCUGGUCCCUGCAGAGAUCUGCAAAAUGAUUCACUUAGAUACAUCAAUGGAUUCAUCAGAAAUGCUACAAGAGAAGCUCGGGCAGGUCGGGAUGUAGAUCAACGUGAAUCACUCACUGAUUGUCCAGCUUACAUGAUAGUGUUCCUGAUCCAUGUUCUUGCACAUGACCCGGAUUUCCCUUCAGAAGACUGCGUGGAUGAGCAUGUAUAUGCUCGGUUUUGUGGCCCUCUGUUGUCGGUCUUACAAGUGCUACUUAGUAACAAGGAAACAGUCCCUAUCUUGUUUUCUAUUCUACGUGCAAUUAAAAGAGCUGAAGAUGCUGUUGAUGCUUGUAAAACUCCUAGGCUGCAUAUUCUAGCUAAUAUUGGUGAUUCAGCUGUCAACACAUCAAAAUGUAUUGCCGCCACUUCCCCACAAGCUCCACGGUCAAUGUUGCUACCAUCAUCCCUGUACAAACUAAGCCCCCCUAGCAUGUCAGAUAGCCAGAACAAGGCCAAGUCUCAUACUCGAAAUGCUUUGGAACAAAGUUUCAUGGAAAGAGUAGUUCACACAUUCCGAUCACAGAUCUCUCUACAUGAUCAGAGCUGUCAAGAAGAUACGCCAGCAAUUGUUUUGGAGGAUAGAGAUUUGCCUCUAUUAGUGGGCAAUCAAAUCGAAACCUCAAUGACUGGUUCAACCGAAGCCAGCAAAAACAACACUAGGUGUAGCAAAAAGCGGACUCAUGCGGUGUUGCCUGAAAAAAGAACAACGACUUCCAAGAAGUGUAAAACCGUAGGAGGAGGAGAGAAUAUUUCUCGUGAUUCCGUCGUAUCUUUGAGAACAGUUGAGUCGGAAAUUCCUAAAAAGACGCUAGAGAGACACAGUACUUGUUCAAAGAAGAGUGUUGGAGCAAGCGUUAGCAAUAACGUUACAUCUUCCAAACCCUCCGGGGCAGUAUCUACGCUAAAGGAUACCAGCAACCACGGCGAAUCUAUCAUUGGGCAGCGGAUUAAAUUACUCUCCCCCGCUGAUGGAAGCUUCCAUCACGGCACUGUUGAAAGGUUUAAUUCUAAAAGCAACUCCCACAAGAUUGCUUUUGAUAAUGGGGAUGUUGAAUUGGUUUGCUUAGACAGCGAGAGUUGGGAGACCCUGAGCCAUGAAUCCAUGGGGCAACAGGAAAUAUUGGGAAAGGAGACAGAAUCUUUUGGCUCACGCGUCCCUGAAGUUAAAACGAAGCAGCAGAAGAAAAAAUUGCCUACCAAAGUGAAACCUAUAGCUGUUGUCGAGUUGAGGUAAUUGAGGAUCAUUCAUCUGGUGGGAACAUAAACAUACGACGGUUCCGUUAACCAUCGUGAUCCUCAUGAAUGAUUCACGAGAAGAAUCAGUCUCAGAAGUAACCAACACAAGUGACAACAUUGGACUUAGAAGAAGUCGGAGACAGAGAACGUCUUAGCCACAUUAUAUGCUCUCUACAAUGGACUUCUUCUUCUUACUUCCUAUACAUAUAUAUGUUUAUAACCUCGUACAAAAUAAUUAAUGAAUGCUUGUCUAGAAUUAAAAUUUGUUGUCUGACAUUGCUGGGUCUUUGUUUGUUCACUUUGUUUCUUGACUUUUUUUUUUCCCUCUGAAGAUUUUUUUAAUUAA